GUUUUCUUUUGGUUCAGUGGUAGAAUUCUCGCCUGCCACGCGGGCGCCCCGGGUUCGAUUCCCGGGCGAUGCA
rnacentral:tRNA from 1 species